rnacentral:misc_RNA from 1 species
ACGAUUCCCAAAGGAUGUGCUGGCAAUUUACAAUUGCAUGUGCACUCCGACUCUCAUUCACCUGUGCACAUUCUGUAGACAAUGGAUAGUAAUGCUAUCUAUUGUCUAUGAUUUUUAUACACUCUAUUAAAAAUUGGAUGUUUUAUAAAAUUAAUA